GAUGAACGCUAGCGGCAGGCCUAACACAUGCAAGUCGAGGGGCAGCACAGAAACAGCAAUGUUUUGGUGGCGACCGGCGGACGGGUGCGUAACGCGUAUGCAACCUACCUUUAACAGGGGGAUAACGGAGAGAAAUUUCCACUAAUACCCCAUAACAUCGAUCACGGCAUCUUGAUUGGUUGAAAACUCCGGUGGUUAAAGAUGGGCAUGCGUUGUAUUAGGUAGUUGGUGAGGUAAUGGCUCACCAAGCCUACGAUACAUAGGGGGACUGAGAGGUUAGCCCCUCACACUGGUACUGAGACACGGACCAGACUCCUACGGGAGGCAGCAGUGAGGAAUAUUGGUCAAUGGGGGCAACCCUGAACCAGCCAUGCCGCGUGCAGGAAGACGGCUCUAUGAGUUGUAAACUGCUUUUAAACAGGGAUAAAGCACAGUAUGUAUACUGUGUUGAAGGUACUGUAAGAAUAAGGAUCGACUAACUCCGUGCCAGCCGCCGCCGUAA
rnacentral:rRNA from 1 species